rnacentral:rRNA from 1 species
AUGCCGCGGUGAAUACGUUCCCGGGCCUUGUACACACCGCCCGUCACACCACGAGAGUCGGCAACACCCGAAGUCGGUGAGGUAACCCCGAAAGGGGAGCCAGCCGCCGAAGGUGGGGUCGAUGAUUGGGGUGAAGUCGUAACAAGGUAGCCGUACCGGAAGGUGCGGCUGGAUCACCUCCUUUCU